UCCAAGGCAACAAAUGAAGUGACUGCAAUUAAAAAGCAAUCUGAAGGCCUUAAAAGAGAAUAUGAUUGCCUUAUGAAAGAACAUGAACGGCUGCAGGACUUCCUAGAUGAAGAGGAGGACAAGAAAGACCAGUAGAAGCAAUUCAGGAAAGACUACUUUGAUAUAACUGCAUCAGUGUGAAGUCUCUUGUUCUUUUCUUUAGCCUCCUGAAGUAGAUGACACAAGGUUUGAUUUUCUUAAGAAAAUCAAAUGCACUGUAGUUCACUACUCAGAUUCUACUUAUAGCUCUUGGUUGCCAAAUAUAUUCUGUGUUGCAAUGAGAAUACAAAGUGAUAUAUGGGAUAUGCCUUGAAGUUUAUAUUUCAGUUCUUGUGAGGAAAAAUGUAAGCAUAUAAAUGGAAAUUUUCCAUCUGCACUAACAAACUCAGAUGAUCUCUAUCUGUUUGCUCUCAAAAAUGGUAAAAGAUCAUGCACAAUAACACCAAUUGCUUGUUAUAUUUGACUGGUUUUGUAAAUCACACCAAACCAUGAAAACAUGGUGACUUUAACCCCUUUUUGCCAGUGACUAUCAGGAGUCCUAUGAAAUUUGAUUACUUACGGGUUAAAUAAGACUAAACAUUUUUCCUUUUCCAUUCUACUUGUGUAGAAGGAUUUGAUUGACAAUCAGUUAAAAAAAAAAAAAAAAAAAGGUAGAUUUCUAAAUCCACCUUACACUAAUUUGUUUUUUCCCAUUGUGCCACACAGAUGGGUGUGUUUCACAAUUAUCCAUUUUGCAUGCCUUUGGGUUAUUCUUUUGGAGUACUUCAGAAUUUUUUGUCAUAAAAAAUAGUAUUGGUGGGAUUUUUAUUAUUCCCUGAUUCAUUUGUACAAGGAUUUAAAUCUAUUGUUUACUUUGUGUGUGUGCCACUGAGUUUUCUUGCUUUGGAAAGUGUAAAAUUCUUUGAAGAAUGUUCAUGUAUAAUUUACUUAUACUGAUGAAAAGCAAUUCAUGGUUAAGGAGUAAUUAUACAAUACCUCAAAAUAAAUAUACAUUGUUUUUACAUUAUCUGUUUUUUGCAUCUGACAGCUAAAUUCUGACUAAUUUUGCAUUAGUGAUUCAAAUUUUGUACUUAGAAGUUGGAUAUGAUUGUUAUAUUAAAGGGGUUGUUUAAACUUA